UUGAACGCUGGCGGCAUGCCUUACACAUGCAAGUCGAACGGUAGAGUAGCAAUACUUGAGAGUGGCGAACGGGUGAGUAAUAUAUCGGAACGUGCCCAACUGUGGGGGAUAACGUAGAGAAAUUUACGCUAAUACCGCAUACGAUCUAAGGAUGAAAGCGGGGGAUCGCAAGACCUCGCGCAGUUGGAGCGGCUGAUAUCAGAUUAGCUUGUUGGUGAGGUAAAAGCUCACCAAGGCGACGAUCUGUAGCUGGUUUGAGAGAACGACCAGCCACACUGGGACUGAGACACGGCCCAGACUCCUACGGGAGGCAGCAGUGGGGAAUUUUGGACAAUGGGCGAAAGCCUGAUCCAGCAAUGCCGCGUGCAGGAAGAAGGCCUUCGGGUUGUAAACUGCUUUUGUACGGAGCGAAAAGGCUCUCUCUAAUACAGGGGGCUCAUGACGGUACCGUAAGAAUAAGCACCGGCUAACUACGU
rnacentral:rRNA from 1 species